rnacentral:rRNA from 1 species
CGCUAUCACUCCUACGGGAGGCAGCAGUGGGGAAUCUUGGACAAUGGGGGCAACCCUGAUCCAGCCAUGCCGCGUGAGUGAUGAAGGCCUUAGGGUCGUAAAGCUCUUUCGCCUGUGAUGAUAAUGACAGUAGCAGGUAAAGAAACCCCGGCUAACUCCGUGCCAGCAGCCGCGGUAAUACGGAGGGGUUAGCGUUGUUCGGAAUUACUGGGCGUAAAGCGCGCGUAGGCGGAUUAGUCAGUUAGAGGUGAAAUCCCCAGGGCUCAACCCCUGGAACUGCCUUUAAUACUGCUAGUCUUGAGUUCGAGAGAGGUGAGUGGAAUUCCGAGUGUAGAGGUGAAAUUCGUAGAUAUUCGGAGGAACACCAGUGGCGAAGGCGGCUCACUGGCUCGAUACUGACGCUGAGGUGCGAAAGUGUGGGGAGCAAACAGGAUUAGAUACCCUGGUAG